rnacentral:lncRNA from 1 species
GGAGAUCGUUGGACUUGUAACUUGAAGGUAAUACUAAGGACACAACCUUCUUUGUUUAGGCUUAUCAAUGGCUUAGGAUAUCCAUAAUCUGGGUAUCCGUCAAAUGGAACACACACUUUUUAGAUGGUGGACAUGUGCAAGGGGCAAAAGAAUGAUCCCAAGGCACAAAUGAAAUCAUCAUUAUCGGAUUGCACAUGGUUUAAAAAUGAGUAUGGAUUGAUGUUUAGGGCACUGGAAGUCUUAUGAAGCUUAAAGAACUGAGGAGCAUUUUUAUUCUCAUUUUUCUUCAUCUUUCUUUCAUUUUCUUCUUUUUCUCAUCUCAUUUUUUUAUUUUUGCCUUGUCAGAACUUUUGGCAACAUAAUACUUACUUAGAAGUAGUCAGAGAUAAUGCAAUGACUCCAUCCCCCAUGCUUGAAUAAUGCUCAUCCUCGACCAUGAAAGAGAGAAUAAAAUGACUGCUGACGUAACUAUAAAAUCUUUUGGUCUUCUACAGAAAAUUAUUUGAUUCUUUAGGGAGGUCGUCCACACCAAAAAUUAGUGCUUCCAGAGGAGGGAACC